rnacentral:lncRNA from 1 species
CCCUGUCUAGAGGUCACUGUGAAGCCUGUGGAAAGGAACUGAGACCUCCAGCUGUCAGCCGCAUAAGUGAGCCUUCUGGGAAGCAGCCCCCAGCCUCAGGGAAGCCUUCAGAAGGGUUACAGUGUAAUUUGUCAAGACUGUGAAGCCGCAACGUGAUCUUAUUUUUGUAAGAUAUAAAAAUAUACUGUUAAUAAUUGCGAUA